rnacentral:rRNA from 1 species
UAAGCGGAGGAAAAGAAACUAACAAGGAUUCCCCUAGUAACGGCGAGUGAAGCGGGAAGAGCUCAAAUUUGUAAUCUGGCACCUUCGGUGUCCGAGUUGUAAUCUCGAGAAGUGUUUUCCGCGCCAGACCGCAUAUAAGUCUGUUGGAAUACAGCGUCAUAGUGGUGAGAACCCCGUAACUGAUGCGGAUGCCUGGUGCUCUGUGAUACACUUUCGAAGAGUCGAGUUGUUUGGGAAUGCAGCUCAAAUUGGGUGGUAAAUUCCAUCUAAAGCUAAAUAUUGGCGAGAGACCGAUAGCGAACAAGUACCGUGAGGGAAAGAUGAAAAGCACUUUGGAAAGAGAGUUAACAGUACGUGAAAUUGUUGGAAGGGAAACGCUUGAAGUCAGACUUGCUAUUUGGAGUUCAGCCGCAAGGUGUAUUCUUCAAUUUGCAGGCCAGCAUCAGUUUUUAGGGGUGGAAAAGGGUAUUGAGAAGGUAGCAGUUUCGGCUGUGUUAUAGCUCUUUACUGGAUUCAUCCUUGGGGACUGAGGAACGCAGUACGCUUUUUGCAAGGCUUUCGGGCUUUUCGUACUUAGGAUGCUGGUGGAAUGGCUUUAAACGACCCGUCUUGAAACACG